GUAACACAAAUCUACAGCUCACAUCACAGACAACAUCAACACACAACUGAUCUGACAUCACAAACAUGAACACACACCUGCUUCUCAUCUUCAUCAUAAUUUCAGGUGUGAUGACUGCAGAUCAGAUCGGUCCAAAUAAAGAAUCAAUAAUCAUAAAGCAUGAACAGGAGACUGUAACCUUGAGCUGUUCAUAUGACACAAGCAGCAGUGGAGUUACACUUUACUGGUACAGACAAUAUCCAAACACAGAACUUCAGUAUUUAAUCUGGAAAGAUGCUCGAUCAUGGACUGAUACUGGUACUCCUUCUGAUCCUCGGUUUGAGUCGACUACAUCACCCACAUCCACUGAACUCAUUAUUAACAGCGUGACUCUGUCAGAUUCAGCUCUAUAUUACUGUGCUCUGAGAGUUGGAACCCAGUGA